GGGCGUUUAGCUCAGUUGGCUAGAGCGCCUCGCUUACACCGAGGAAGUCGGGAGUUCGAGUCUCUCAGCGCCCA
rnacentral:tRNA from 1 species